GAUUUCUGGCUUGAAACACUAAGCCGGCCACGGUUUCGUGUGUUAGUGCUUGGUGUUCUGGCCAUCCUUCCAAUCGCUGCGUACUUCUCUUCAUUGAUUAGUGCGUAGUAUUGGAUCUUUUACUUUGAAAAAAUUAGAGUGUUUCAAGCAGGCUAUUGCUAUGAAUACAUUAGCAUGGAAUAAUAAUUUAGGACUUCGGUUCUAUUUUGUUGGUUUCUAGGACUGAAGUAAUGAUUGAUAGGGAUAGUUGGGGGUGCUAGUAUUCAGCGGCCAGAGGUGAAAUUCUUGGAUUCGCUGAAGACUAACUUAUGCGAAAGCAUU
rnacentral:rRNA from 2 species